GCAGCAUGAAGAAGAGGAGUCUCACCUUCAUCAUCUUUUUCAUUGACAUCAAUUUUCAACUCUUCCACCAAAUACUUGCACAAUUCAAUCUUGCCUUCCCUGGCGGCAAAAAUCAAUGCCCCUCUUUUAUUACCAUCCUUCACAUCCGCCACUGUACCAGCCAACCCUUUUCCAUCAUCCAGUUGCUUUGCCAACUUCUUGAAAAGCUCAAUAUCCCCUGAACAAGCCGCCUUCAAAAACUUAUUAACUUUUUCUCUAACUGCAAGAGCAUCAGUAGCAUCAGGAGCC
rnacentral:misc_RNA from 1 species